GUUCUUGUAGUUGAGUUACAACAGUAGUUUUUCAGGCUAUUAGUCCAGGUUAAAGUCCUGGUGAGAAUA
rnacentral:tRNA from 1 species